CUGAAACAUCUAAGUACCCCGAGGAACAGAAAUCAACCGAGAUUCCGGCAGUAGCGGCGAGCGAAACCGGAUUAGCCCUUAAGCUAGUUGCAUGUUAGGCGAAUGUGCUGGAAAGCACAGCAGCAAAGGGUGAUAGCCCCGUAGCCGACAGCGCGCUUUUAGUGAAAUCGAGUAGGACGGGACACGUGAUAUCCUGUCUGAACAUGGGGGGACCAUCCUCCAAGGCUAAAUACUCCUGACUGACCGAUAGUGAACCAGUACCGUGAGGGAAAGGCGAAAAGAACCCCUGUGAGGGGAGUGAAAUAGAACCUGAAACCGUGUACGUACAAGCAGUAGGAGCCCCUUCGUGGGGUGACUGCGUACCUUUUGUAUAAUGGGUCAGCGACUUAUAUUCAGUAGCAAGGUUAACCAUCUAGGGGAGCCGUAGAGAAAUCGAGUCUUAACUGGGCGUCGAGUUGCUGGAUAUAGACCCGAAACCAGGUGAUCUAGCCAUGGGCAGGUUGAAGGUGAGGUAACACUUACUGGAGGACCGAACCGACUAAUGUUGAAAAAUUAGCGGAUGACUUGUGGCUAGGGGUGAAAGGCCAAUCAAACCUGGAGAUAGCUGGUUCUCCCCGAAAGCUAUUUAGGUAGCGCCUCGGACGAAUACCAUUGGGGGUAGAGCACUGUUUCGGCUAGGGGGUCAUCCCGACUUACCAAACCGAUGCAAACUCCGAAUACCAAUGAGUACUAUCCGGGAGACAGACUGCGGGUGCUAACGUCCGUAGUCAAGAGGAAAACAAUCCAGACCGCCAGCUAAGGCCCCAAAAUUAUAGUUAAGUGGGAAACGAUGUGGGAAGGCAUAGACAGCUAGGAGGUUGGCUUAGAAGCAGCCACCCUUUAAAGAAAGCGUAAUAGCUCACUAGUCGAGUCGGCCUGCGCGGAAGAUGUAACGGGGCUAAG
rnacentral:rRNA from 1 species